rnacentral:rRNA from 1 species
AGCAGCCGCGGUAAUUCCAGCUCCAAUAGCGUAUAUUUAAGUUGUUGCAGUUAAAAAAGCUCGUAGUUGAAUUUCGGGAUCAGUACGCUGGUCAUGCCUUUGGUAUGCACUGGUGUCACUGGUUUCUCCCUUCUGAAGAACCGUGAUGUCAUUAAUUUGGUGUCGCGGGGAAUCAGGACUGUUACUUUGAAAAAAUUGAGUGUUUAAAGCAGGCUCGCGCUUGAAUACAUUAGCAUGGAAUAAUGAAAUAGGACGUUUGACCCUAUUUUGUUGGUUUCUAGGAUCGACGUAAUGAUUAAUAGGGAUAGUUGGGGGCAUUAGUAUUCAAUUGUCAGAGGUGAAAUUCUUGGAUUUAUUGAAGACUAACUACUGCGAAAGCAUUUGCCAAGGAUGUUUUCAUUAAUCAAGAACGAAAGUUAGGGAUCGAAGACGAUCAGAUACCGUCGUAGUCUUAACCAUAAACUAUGCCGACUAGGGAUCGGACGAUGUUAAUUUUUUAAUGUACUCGUUCGGCGUACCG